GCAUGAAAAAUUGCAGUAACAUGUAUUGUAUUAAUAUACUAAAUGUAUUUAUUAACUAACAUUUAUGUACCUUAUUAGAUCUAUGUUAUAUAGUGAAAAAUUUCUUGUAUGGCAGAUCAUGCUGCAGUGAGAAACCAAGAAAUUCCUAUUGUUGUGUGCCAUUGAGUGUCAUAGAAAAAGGAUAUGGAUUCAGGGAUAAGGAUGUGUGUGAAAUAGCAGUGAGGCAGAAUGGCUACAAAACAUAGACUUCAGAAGAGAAGGCCUGUAUUCUACAUGCUGUAUUAAGGGAACAAUAUUGGAUUUUCAGAUUUCAUGCAAAUGAUAGAAAACAUUUAACAAGUUUAUACUGGGCACUGAACAAUAUGGCAUACAGAAGUUUGGAUUCUUUUGGCUGGAUAGUUUGUACAGUAUGGUGAAACUAGAGGAUGAAAGCUCACAUACAAGUAGCAAGUCCUCAGUUUCUAGUUAGGAUGAGUUGACAGUGUUUGUACAAGAGAAUGCCUUGUCAAGGUUUGUGUUUGGUCAGUGUCAUCUGAACGUGUCUAGCACCACAGUCCAUAGAGUACAGAAACUUCUCACUGCUGCAUACAACUCUGACUGUGAGCCUUACUCAAAACCCCAUAAUGAACAAAUCUCAACAAGCUACAGUAUUACAUCCGUGUUUGGUCUGCAGGUAACAAGUCAGCAGUUUGACCUCCAGAUCACAUCAACAGUGUACUCUCGUAAAUUGGUACAGCUUGUGAGCAAGAUAACAGGUCCUUCUAGCAGCCUACUGCAUCACUGCC
rnacentral:lncRNA from 1 species